UUUUUUUUGUCAUCUGAUAAUGCAGGUACCUACAUACAUUGCUUGAUUUCAUCUUUGGCUUUGUUGUUGAUGACUUUUAAUUUAUUACUUAUUAAUUUAAUUAUUAUGUAGUACUUUAUGUAUGAGUUUAACUUUUUUUUUGGUAUUAGGCAUGGUGCAUUGUAAUUAUUAUUAUGAGUCAAUGUUAUUAAUUGCUAAUCCUGUCAGUAGGAUUAUACAAUUAAUCAGAACUUCACUUGUAUUUUUGUUUAGUUUUUGCACACCUAACCCCUUAAGUUAGAAGGGUUGUUGAAUUAUUAUAUAUUUAUAUACUUAUUUGGACAGGUAAGCUCAUACAAGUAGGUACUCUUGUUUAAUAUGGAUAUUAUUAUGGAACUGUAUGUUAUGCACUACUUAUCUCAGGUUAUGUGUUAUAUUAUUUGGAAUAUUUGAUUACUUACUAAUUUUUUUUUGAUCAUAUUUAUAUCUUAUUAUUGAAUUUGCCAUAUUGGAAAGAUGUGGUUUUUAAUUUGUUAUUGGGUUACUCUAUUAACAUUAUUUGUCUCCAAUAUCUUAAACACUUUAUAAUAAUUUAUAUCCUUCUAUCCUACACAGUAUGAUUCUGGAAUUAGUUUGGAAUUUUGAUGUAAGUAUGUAUGAAUUCUUGAGUCUUUCAUAUUUCUUCUUAGAAACUACUUAGUCUGUUGAUGCUCAAAGUUGGUGAAUACGUGGGUUCGAAAUUCAGCAACUGAUCACUGCUGUCCGGUUUCGUAAUCUAUGUCCUCAUGGCAGAGUAGGCAGAUGUCUUUUCAUCAUUACAUUUCCUAAACAUUUUUCUGUAAUCAGUUUACUUAUUUCAGUUUUUUACAAUUUAAUAGGGAAGUAUUUAGUUCAUAUUAGGCCUUUUGCUUCAUAGUAUGUUUGUACUUUGAGUUGAUGAGUAAACAUGGAUAAAUAUCUUGCGCACUUGUUUAUAAAUCAAUGCUUAGGCCAUCCCUAUACAUAGUAGGUUCGUUAAGUCAGUAUUUGGAGUGUUUAGACAGAUGAGUUGUUCAUUUGAAUAUAUUCCCACUUCUUUUCGUAGGCAUUAGUUUUGUUAUUCAGAUUCUGGAAUAUUUCCUGAAUAAUUCUAUGUACGUAUGUGAGAACGCAUGAAUUUGCAGUUUUAUUUAAAAUUGUGCUCGUUCUCGUCAAUUUUUUUCCCUAUCACUUAUCAUAUUUUUUUUUUUCUUCCUAUUAUUUAUCAUAGUGCCAUAGACCUUGUAAGUUCACUAUUCAUUCUGUUUUCUUUCUUACUUAUUCUUAUAUUAGUACCUUAUCUGUGUCUGGUUAUUCUCAUACAUCUGUUGUAGCAACAUGCUAUAGUUCGCGAAUACCAGCAUGAAUUAAGUUAUGUAUUUUCUAGAAUACUUUAGUCAAUACACUUUAGGUAUUUAUCUUACCUUUGAUUUAGUUUGGUUACAUCUCUGUUACUUAGUCUGUUAGUAAUUUUUUUCUGACUUAUUUUGGAUUACUUAGUUCAGAUAGGUUCAUAUUACCGGAUGAGGGUGUAUGUAGACCUAAUUUAUUUAUUUUGUUCAGUAUUAGUUACCAUUGGAUCCAAUAAUUUAGUUUAUUUAGUAUUAGUAAGAAUUGGUCCAUAAAUUUGCCUGAUCGUUCUUCUUUGGAUAUACUCCUAUAUAAAUCUGGUGUCCAUUGAUAGUCCGAUUCUGGAUAAGUGUCCGAUUCUUCAUUUAUUUUGUGUAUUUAGUUGGAUAGGUUCGUAUUACCGGAUGUGGGUGUACGUAGACCUGAUCUGUUAUGUGGUUUAGUAUUGGUGUGAAUUGGUCCAUAAAUUUGCCUGGUCGUUCUUCUUUGGAUAUGCCUUUUAUGAAUCUGGUGUCCACUGAUAGUUCGACUUUGGAUUAAGUGUCCGAUUCCACAUUUAUUUUGGUUAUUGAGUUUUGGAUUCCUUUGGUAUGUUUAUUAUUGGUAUUAUUUGACAUUAGUGAGAAUUUUUCCAUAAAUCUUCCUGAUUGUUCUUCUCUGGAUAUACUAUUAUGAAUCUGGUGUCCAUUGUUAGUUCAGUUUUGGAUAAAGUGUUCAAUUCUUUACCUAUUUUAGUUACUGAUUUUUUUUAUUCACUUUGGUACAUUUACUUUUGAUAUGGUUCGAAUUGGCUCACACCUUUUCCUGGUUGUUCCGUUCUUGGAUAUACCCUUUAUAAAUCUGAUGUCCAUGGAUAGUUCAAUUUUGGUUUUAGUGCCCAACUCGACACUCAGUUAUUAUGAACUUAAGUACAAUAUUUAGUUUUGUUUUGACUUUUGAGCAAUAUAUGUUAAUAUUUGGUAGCAGAGAGUAACAUAGUAACAUUUUAGUAUGAGUUUGAGUCAUGUAUUGAUUUAUUUUUCCUUGACCAUUAGUUUAUAUUUAGAAGUAAUCUUGCGAAUCAACGUGGAUUGUUAGACUAUUGUAAAUUUAGUUGUUAAUAUUUUGAAGUUUAAAAAAAAAAAAAAUUUUUUUUGGUUAAAAAAUUUUUUUUUUCCCGAGUAGGAGGGGAUUGUAACGGUCCACCCGUUAUAUUAUCAUUUUUAGCGCUGUAAUUAUUUUUAAAAAAAAUAAUUAUUUUCUCUUGACCUCCCAUUUAAAUUCUUUAAUUUAUCGUAAAGGACUUCUCAUGUGACGUCACACUGUACGGAACAUAGUUGUUGAACCGUUCCUUGUCGUUUAAUUCGUGUUCCGUGAGAGUUUGACGUUUUCCUCGCUGACUGUGGGAGGAAUGAGAGGCACUUGGCCGGUGGCUGCGAGGUUGACAGGUUGGUGUUGGUGGUUGAUACCGUAAAUGGCGGUUAAUUUCUUCGAAAUUAAUUUUUAUUUCAACUAAGUUUGGAAGUAUAGUAAAAAGUUACCACCACUUGUUUCCUGGAGUACGGGUUUCCUGGAGUAAGGAUGGGAGUACCAUCAGUGGAAGAGGAAUAAAAAAUUAACCGCCAUUUGGAAGAAAACUAACCCUCAUGUGAUGUCGUACCCACCUUGACUACCUAGGAAGCCACCUUGACCUUAUUGCAGCUACCGCCAAGUCAAACUGGGAGUAUGUUUUGGGAACAAGCUUUUUGGGGGACAUUCCAGCUCCUUUUCGUCCUGCCACCUGGGCCUACGGGGGGGCAUGGAGGUGCAUCAUAGUGAUGCUCAUUUUCUAGGAUGCAACCGCAACCUCGUUUGGGAACAUUUAGUGAGGAGUUUUAGUAACUAUUGGUUUUUUUUAUAUUUCAGACUAUCUGUUAAAUACACUAUGUUUUUUUUCCAGAUUUAGGUUACCUCUGUUUUUUUUUGACAUAUGUAUUUGUAUAUUAGAUUAUUUGGUUCCCAAACUUUGUAUCUACGGUAACUUCUUGUGCACAGGAAUAAGCCUAGAGAAAAUUAGGUUUUUAAUACUUUAUUAUUGCUUUGAUAUUGGUUUAUGUAAUUCGGGUAAAUUUAUUUUGUAACAUUACUUGCUUGUUUCCCAAAUAUUGUAUUUAUUCGCUUUAUUUCGUUUGUUCGGUUACUUCGUCGUUACUUUAUUUCAUUGCAUUUGCUCGGUUAAUUUAGGUCAUUUUGUCGGUAUUUUUCUUAACUUCACUUCUAUAACGUUUAUUCAUUUGUAUAUUUAAUUUUGCUUUAUUCAGUAUUGUAUUUUCUCUUAGUGAGGCUUGGGCCUAUUUAUUUGUAUUAUUUUCAUCUUCGUCGGUUUCCUUUAGUUGUACGUAGCAGGCGUACUAUAACCAUUUGGUAGAAGACUUAUGUAAUUUUGUACCCUAUAUGUUAGUAAGAGGUACUUAUAUUUAAGUUGUAACAGAUAACAUUAUUGUUGUUAUCUUUAAAAUAUAUAUAUCUUCUUGUAUAACUUAUGUCAUUUUAGAGUCACAGCAUAAUAUGAACUUGCUUAACUCAGAGAUUGUUAAAAAUCUGGUAGUUAUUUUUAAUAAAUAUGUUUAUUUAUUUUGUA
rnacentral:lncRNA from 1 species